AGCGAACGUUAGCGGCGCGCCUAACACAUGCAAGUCGCACGAGAAAGGGCUUCGGCCCCGGUACAGUGGCGCACGGGUGAGUAACGCGUGGGCGACCUUCCCGACCGUGGUGGAUAACCUGCCGAAAGGCGGGCUAAUACAGCAUACGUUGGCGCUUCUUCGGAGGCGUCAGGAAAGCAGGCCUCUGUGUACAAGCUUGCGCGGUCGGAUGGGCCCGCGUCCCAUCAGCUAGUUGGUGAGGUAACGGCUCACCAAGGCGACGACGGGUAGCUGGUCUGAGAGGAUGGCCAGCCACACUGGAACUGAGACACGGUCCAGACUCCUAUGGGAGGCAGCAGUGGGGAAUCUUGCGCAAUGGGCGAAAGCCUGACGCAGCGACGCCGCGUGGGCGACGAAGGCCUUCGGGUUGUAAAGCCCUGUGGGGCGGGACGAACGAGUCCGGGGUGAAUAAUCCCGGGCUGUGACGGUACCGCCUUAGCAAGCACCGGCUAACUCUGUGCCAGCAGCCGCGGUAAAAC
rnacentral:rRNA from 1 species